rnacentral:rRNA from 1 species
UACGUAGGGUGCGAGCGUUGUCCGGAAUUAUUGGGCGUAAAGGGCGCGUAGGCGGCCCGCCGCGUCCGGGGUGAAAUCCUCCCGCUCAACGGGAGAACGGCCUCGGAUACGGGCGGGCUGGAGGCGGGUAGGGGCAGGCGGAACUGUGGGUGGAGCGGUGAAAUGCGUUGAUAUCCACAGGAACUCCGGUGGCGAAGGCGGCCUGCUGGACCCGAUCUGACGCUGAGGCGCGAAAGCCAGGGGAGCGAACGGG